GAUGAAGAACGUAGCGAAAUGCGAUACUUGGUGUGAAUUGCAGAAUCCCGUGAACCAUCGAGUCUUUGAACGCAAGUUGCGCCCGAAGCCACUAGGCCGAGGGCACGCCUGCCUGGGCGUCACACGCCGUUGCCCCCCCAUCUACUCCUUCGGGAUUGCGGGGGGGCGGAUGAUGGCCUCCCGUGCGCCUAGCCGCGCGGUUGGCAUAAAUACCAAGUCCUCGGCGACGCACGCCACGACAAUCGGUGGUUGCGAAACCUCGGUUGCCCGUCGUGUGCGUUCGUCGCGCAUCGAGGGCUCGAAAAAAUGCUCGGCUCCGGCUGGGCUUUCAACGCGACCCCAGGUCAGGCGGGGUUACCCGAUGAAUUUAAGCAUAUCAAUAAGCGGAGGA
rnacentral:misc_RNA from 1 species